rnacentral:rRNA from 1 species
UACGUAGGGUGCAAGCGUUGUCCGGAAUUAUUGGGCGUAAAGAGCUCGUAGGCGGUCAGUCGCGUCUGCUGUGAAAACUCGGGACUUAACUCCGGGCCUGCAGUGGGUACGGGCUGACUAGAGUGCGGUAGGGGAGACUGGAAUUCCUGGUGUAGCGGUGAAAUGCGCAGAUAUCAGGAGGAACACCGGUGGCGAAGGCGGGUCUCUGGGCCGUAACUGACGCUGAGGAGCGAAAGCGUGGGGAGCGAACAGG